rnacentral:rRNA from 1 species
AUGGAGGCGGCGGCCGCAAGGGGCCUGGAGCUGGCCGGCCCGCUCCGCGACCUCCUCCCGCCGGUGGACUUCUGCUGCGCGUACGGCUCCACCCUCACCCACGCCCGCCCCGACGGCACCUCCAUGGUCGAGUACAUCCUCGGCGUCGCCGACCCCCUCCAGUGGCACUCCGAGGUAGGCUAG